rnacentral:rRNA from 1 species
UACGGAGGGUGCGAGCGUUGUCCGGAAUCACUGGGCGUAAAGGGCGCGUAGGUGGCGCGGGGAGUCGGCGGUGAAAGCUCGGGGCUCAACCCUGAGUCGGCCGUCGAUACUCCCGCGCUCGAGCACUGUAGAGGCAGAUGGAAUUCCGGGUGUAGCGGUGGAAUGCGUAGAGAUCCGGAAGAACACCGGUGGCGAAGGCGGUCUGCUGGGCAGUUGCUGACACUGAGGCGCGACAGCGUGGGGAGCAAACAGG